rnacentral:rRNA from 1 species
AGAGUUUGAUCAUGGCUCAGAACAAACGCUGGCGGCGUGCCUAAUACAUGCAAGUCGAACGGGCUAAUGCCUUCGGGUAUUAGCAAGUGGCGUACGGGUGAGUAACGCGUGGAUAAUCUUCCUCUAGGUGGGGAAUAACCAGUCGAAAGACUGGCUAAUACCGCAUAAGACCACAGGGGCUUCGGCUCAAGGGGUUAAAGGCGCAAGUCGCCUGGAGAUGAGUUUGCGCCCGAUUAGCUAGUUGGUGAGGUAAUGGCUCACCAAGGCGACGAUCGGUAGCUGGUCUGAGAGGACGGCCAGCCACACUGGGACUGAGACACGGCCCAGACUCCUACGGGAGGCAGCAGUAGGGAAUAUUGCACAAUGGAGGAAACUCUGAUGCAGCGACGCCGCGUGAGUGACGAAGGCCUUCGGGUUGUAAAGCUCUGUUCUCAGGGAAAAAGCAAGUGAUUGUACCUGAGAAGAAAGGACCGGCUAACUUCGUGCCAGCAGCCGCGGUAAGACGAGGGGUCCAAGCGUUGUUCGGAAUUAUUGGGCGUAAAGCGGGUGUAGGUGGCUCUAUAAGUCAGAAGUGAAAGCCCCAGGCUUAACCUGGGAAGUGCUUUUGAUACUGUAGAGCUUGAAUGUGGGAGAGGAUCGUGGAAUUCCAGGUGUAGUGGUGAAAUACGUAGAUAUCUGGAGGAACCCGGUGACGAAGGCGGCGAUCUGGCCCAACAUUGACACUGAGACCCGAAAGCGUGGGGAUCAAACAGGAUUAGAUACCCUAGUAGUCC